AUCGAACGCUGGCGGCAGGCCUAACACAUGCAAGUCGAACGAACUCUUCGGAUUUAGUGGCGGACGGGUGAGUAACACGUGGGAACGUGCCUUUUGGUUCGGAAUAACUCAGGGAAACUUGUGCUAAUACCGAAUGUGCCCUUCGGGGGAAAGAUUUAUCGCCAUUAGAGCGGCCCGCGUCUGAUUAGCUAGUUGGUGAGGUAACGGCUCACCAAGGCGACGAUCAGUAGCUGGUCUGAGAGGAUGACCAGCCACACUGGGACUGAGACACGGCCCAGACUACUACGGGAGGCAGCAGUGGGGAAUCUUGCGCAAUGGGCGAAAGCAUGACGCAGCCAUGCCGCGUGAAUGAUGAAGGUCUUAGGAUUGUAAAAUUCUUUCACCGGGGACGAUAAUGACGGUACCAGGAGAAGAAGCCCCGGCUAACUUCGUG
rnacentral:rRNA from 1 species